GUGACCUGCGGAGGGAUCAUUAUUGAAUGGUCUUUGACCUUCUACCCCUCAAACCUGUGGAAGCUAAAAACGUGCUUCGGCGUCCCUCGCGGGCGCCGCUUUUAUGCAUAAAUCGGUGUGUCGUCUGAAUAAUACACAAGAAUCAAAACUUUCAACAAAGGAUCUCUUGGCUCUCGCAUCGAUGAAGAACGCAGCGAAGCGCGAAAUGUAGUGUGAAUCGCAAAACAUUGUGAAUCAUCGAAUCUUUGAACGCACAUUGCGCCUCCCUUAACAGGGAGGCAUGCCUGUCUGAGUCUCAUUUAAUCUAUAGACCCGACGAAUGGGUUUGUGCCUGGGCGUUCGCUUGACCGGCGUCGCCUCAAAGUCAUCUGUCUUGUGAGCGGACGAGAUCCUUUCGGACUGACCGUUUGUGGGACCCUAAAUCUCUGAUUUGAGCUCAGAUCAGGUAGGACUACCGCCUGAACUUAAGCAUAUCAAUAAGCGGAGGA
rnacentral:rRNA from 1 species